GUGCAAAUACUCCGAGAAAUGCAAGC
rnacentral:piRNA from 1 species